rnacentral:rRNA from 1 species
UGGGGAAUAUUGGACAAUGGGCGCAAGCCUGAUCCAGCCAUGCCGCGUGAGUGAUGAAGGCCCUAGGGUUGUAAAGCUCUUUCACCGGUGAAGAUAAUGACGGUAACCGGAGAAGAAGCCCCGGCUAACUUCGUGCCAGCAGCCGCGGUAAUACGAAGGCGGCUAGCGUUGUUCGGAUUUACUGGGCGUAAAGCGCACGUAGGCGGACUUUUAAGUCAGGGGUGAAAUCCCGGGGCUCAACCCCGGAACUGCCUUUGAUACUGGAAGUCUUGAGUAUGGUAGAGGUGAGUGGAAUUCCGAGUGUAGAGGUGAAAUUCGUAGAUAUUCGGAGGAACACCAGUGGCGAAGGCGGCUCACUGGACCAUUACUGACGCUGAGGUGCGAAAGCGUGGGGAGCAAACAGG